GCCUCAGUAGCUCAGCUGGUAGAGCGAUCGCCUCGUAAGCGAUAGGUCGGGGGUUCAAAGGGCGCAUGAUUCCAAGGGGCUCGGAAUCCGUCUGAAGUUCCCUCCUGAGGCU
rnacentral:tRNA from 1 species